AUUGAACGCUGGCGGCAGGCUUAACACAUGCAAGUCGAGCGGGGGAAGGUAGCUUGCUACCGGACCUAGCGACGGACGGGUGAGUAAUGCUUAGGAAUCUGCCUAUUAGUGGGGGACAACAUCUCGAAAGGGAUGCUAAUACCGCAUACGUCCUCAGGGAGAAAGCAGGGGACCUUCGGACCUUGCGCUAAUAGAUGAGCCUAAGUAGGAUUAGCUAGUUGGUGGGGUAAAGGCCUACCAAGGCGACGAUCUGUAGCGGGUCUGAGAGGAUGAUCCGCCACACUGGGACUGAGACACGGCCCAGACUCCUACGUGAGGCAGCAGUGGGGAAUAUUGGACAAUGGGGGGAACCCUGAUCCAGCCAUGACGCGUGUGUGAAGAAGGCCUUAUGGUUGUAAAGCACUUUAAGCGAGGAGGAGGCUACUUUAGUUAAUACCUAGAGAUAGUGGACGUUACUCGCAGAAUAAGCACCGGCUAACUCUGUGCCAGCCGCCGCGGUAA
rnacentral:rRNA from 1 species